rfam:SAR86 cluster bacterium SAR86B genomic scaffold Contig_2, whole genome shotgun sequence.
CGGGAUGUAGCGCAGCCUGGUAGCGCACUACACUGGGGGUGUAGUGGUCGUCGGUUCAAAUCCGGCCAUCCCGA